ACUCCUACGGGAGGCAGCAGUGGGGAAUAUUGCGCAAUGGGGGAAACCCUGACGCAGCAACGCCGCGUGAGUGAUGAAGGCUUUCGGGUCGUAAAGCUCUGUCUCAGGGGAAGAAACUGUUGUGGUCCAACGGGCCGCAAGAGUGCCCGUACCCUCAAAGGAAGCACCGGCUAACUCCGUGCCCGCAGCCGCGGUAAU
rnacentral:rRNA from 1 species